rnacentral:rRNA from 2 species
UUUAUAGCUUGCUAUGAUAAAAAUUAGUGGCAGACGGGUGAGUAAUGCAUAGGAAUCUACCUAGUAGUAUGGGAUAGCCACUAGAAAUGGUGGGUAAUACUGUAUAAUCCCUGCGGGGGAAAGAUUUAUCGCUAUUAGAUGAGCCUAUGUUAGAUUAGCUAGUUGGUAGGGUAAAGGCCUACCAAGGCAGUGAUCUAUAGCUGGUCUGAGAGGAUGAUCAGCCACACUGGAACUGAGAUACGGUCCAGACUCCUACGGGAGGCAGCAGUGGGGAAUAUUGGACAAUGGGCGCAAGCCUGAUCCAGCUAUGCCGCGUGAGUGAGGAAGGCCUUAGGGUUGUAAAACUCUUUCAGUGGGGAAGAUAAUGACGGUACCCACAGAAGAAGUCCCGGCAAACUCCGUGCCAGCAGCCGCGGUAAUACGGAGGGGGCAAGCGUUGUUCGGAAUUAUUGGGCGUAAAGGGCAUGUAGGCGGUUCGGUAAGUUAAAGGUGAAAUGCCAGGGCUUAACCCUGGAGCUGCUUUUAA